GGCCGGCAGGGCCGGAGGAGAGCCGUCCCCACCUGGGGAGGGGGAUGCCUGGCCACGGACCGCUGCGGCAGGGGAGCCUGUUUUCCGGAUUCUAAUUUUUGCCCCUUCGCCCACCCGCUACAGCCGAGCAGAGGCUUCCGUGCGGGAGGAGAAGCAGUCAGGUGGGUGGCUGCCCGACCCCACGCCCCCGUGGUUUAUUGUUUUGCAUGUCUUCCCUACACACCCGGAGCUCGGACGGGAAAGGGUGGCACCGCACGGGACGAGGCCAGCGCUGGCCUGGGAUCUGGGUGCGUAGAGCUUCGGGGGCAAACGUUUUCUGAGUGGUCUGGGCCGGCAUUUCUUUCCUCUUUUAGUGAGCACCUCGACUUUGCCGUGCUGGCUGGGAGAAGAGUUCGUGGUCGCAGAAGAGUGUACUCCGUGUUCCAGUUUUCAGGCUGUGAGCAUCCCUCCCCUCCCCCGUUUUCCCCCAACAUCUAGCCAGUCCCCAAGUCUCAUUAAGCAUACCUUUGCAUCCUCUUUUCUUUCUCCUUGCAGUGUCAGUAUACGUCCAAAUCUGAACUUGUCUUCCCCCUGAAAACAUGUUCCUCUCUUUCCAAGUUAAUAACAGCGUUCAGCUGAUAACCAGGUUUUGUUCUGCUUUUGUUUUUUGUCUUGCUGUAUUGGGGAUUGAACCCAAUCCUACCAUCUAGCUCUCUAUCAUCUAGCCUCAUCCCCAGACCUUUUUUUAUUAUUUUGAGACAAGGUUUAAGUUGGCCAGGCUGGGCUGGAACUUGAGCUCUUCCUGCCUCAGGCUCCCAAGUUGCUGGAAUUACAGGCAUGCACCUCCAUGCCCUGUGGUUCUGUUCACUUUUAAUACACUAUGCUCUGGAAUCUGUCCUUAUGUCCUUCUACACUCUUACCCUGAAGUGUUUUUUCCAACACACAUUUCUAAUCAUGCAACCACCACCUUCAGCAUGCACAUCAGAGCUCUUUGUUAGCUCUGUUUUCUGGCCAGCUCUGACCAUGGCAUUUGGGCACUUGCCCUUUUGAAUGGCAACCUCUCUGUUUCUCCUGCUGCCUCUUCCUAACACAUGCUUUGGUUCUUUUCUCCCGGCAGAAAACCAUCCCUGAGUGUGGUUCCACAGGUUAUGUUGAGAAAAUUACAUGCAGCUCCUCUAAGAGAAAUGAGUUCAAAAGGUAAGGGCUUUUCUUUUCUUGUAGACUAAUUAUCUCCUUUCCUCCUGUGACUUCAUCCUGGAUAGCAUGACAUGUUGGAAAGAGGGAAUUUGGAGCUAAAUUACUUAAACCCAAGUCCUGGUUUUACUUCUCAGCCCUGUUAUUGGCCAUAUUUUCUCUUCAAUAACAUCAGCUAAUGUUAUCUUUGUUAUCUUACCAGAUGAUAUAAACACUUUAUAAGGCUGACUCUGUUUUCCUCUUUUUCUUUUGGCUGUUACCUCCUUGAUGGGGCUGAAGUAGAAGGGAAGUGGUAAGGAGAAGCUGUCUGGCCUUCCCUGGGAAUAACUGUUCCUUCCUAUCCUCAGCUGCCGCUCAGCUCUGAUGGAACAACACUUAUUCUGGAAAUUUGAAGGGGCUGUGGUGGGUGUGGCUUUGGUCUUCGCAUGCCUUGUCAUCAUCCGUCAGCGACAACUGGACAGAAAGGCUCUGGAAAAGGUCCGGAAGCAAAUUGAGUCCAUAUAGCUACAUUCCACCCUUUUAUCCUGGAUUUUACAGACCAUAUCUUAGAGAAAGUGAAAUGGACUGAUUUGCGCCUUUGGUUCUUAGGAAUCUUGUGGUGGUAACCCCUUCUCCCCAUCUUCCUCUCCAUGUCAUUAAUAAGCACAAUAAAAAAGAGUAAUUUGGUUUCUUUCUCCCUAUAGUAAUUUGUUUUGGGACAGGAAAUCAUGGGAGCAGAGAGAAAAGGGGGUGGCAAUCUCCCAAGUACCUACCUUCCCCCCUUUUACUACUUAUUUAAAACUUCUGGGAUAUAAUUUUAACUAGAAAAU
rnacentral:lncRNA from 1 species